rnacentral:lncRNA from 1 species
UUGGUGGUAAAUGCUAUAGCUCGUUCUUCUGAGAUUCACCUAGUUUCUUUGAUUAGUUUUGUUGGUUUUAGAGCUGACCAUGCUUGUUCGAUGGCUUAUUUGAUCUUCAGUAUCAAAUCAAGUAAGCUAAGACUCCGCAAUUUCUAUGUUGCCUACAUUUAUGGAGAUUCUCACUAAAAACUUUUGUCGGUCAACAUUCUAAAAUUUUCUCAGGGUGCAUCAACGUCGUUUUAUUCAGUUAUCAUUUGUUCUUUCAAACACUACCUAGUGUAUGGGUCUCAAGUUAAAUUUCACUUAGAGUCUUUUCAUCCCUUGAACACAUCUAUCACUUUUUUUUCGUAAUAGUUUCCGUUAAUAAUAAUUUUACCAUUGAGUUUACUUCCGUUUCCGUUUGUAUCCUCACAAACCUUUUGGAUAUUUUGAUUAAUAUAAUUGUUUGUUGUCCAAUUAUUUUUUGCUAUGAAUUUGAAUGUAUCGAAAAAUGCAAUUGCUAAAUAUCCAAGUGUAUAUAUAUUCAAAAUAAACAGAAAAUUUUCUUGUUUAUUAAAACAGUAAACAAACAAUGAACAAGGUGUUUCAAAAAAAAAAUUGUUUCAAAAAAAAAACAACGAACAAAAAUUAUUUUACAUAAAAUCUAGAAACCCUAAAACUUAAUAUUUACUAGAAACUAAAAUAUUUAAAUAUAACUAUGGAAUAUUGACGACCGUCUAAAAAAAGGUUUUCUUACCCAAUAUAGAACUUUUUCUUGUAUUUAGCCACUUCCUUGUGCAGUAAUCCUCGUACGCACAAUACAAUUCGGAACAAGUGAUCAAUAUAUUAGCCUUUUUGGUUGUUUCAUUUGCUUUACUUAGUAAACCAAUCUUAGAUAGAAUGACGAGACUGAGCCUGAGAUAUAUUUGUAUUUAAUUAUAUAUAUAUUUAGUUUCGCUUUGCUUUGAAUGUAUGUUUUUCUUCUAAAGUGGGUAAGCAAGAAAAUGAUGUGCUAUUAAUGUGAAUGGAGAGAUAUCUAUAGCUUCAGUGACAACUUGCAAAAAGCAAAGAAAGAUAGAUCAUAAACCUAACAUGUAUUGUUGUGUUACUACUUACCAAACUACAAGCAAGAAAAAGUGUUAAAGUUGUUCGUCCAAAUUCCAUGGCACCUUUUGAUCUCAUCAAAUGUCCUUGGCCCAAACAAAAAAAAAACAUUUACAUGUGGUUGGGAGUGUAAGCCCAACACACUCAGAGGCCCAAGUGGAGAACACAACAGAAGCUAAGGCCUCUGCAUCA